rnacentral:rRNA from 1 species
UACGAAGGGGGGCUAGCGUUGUUCGGAAUUACUGGGCGUAAAGCGCACGUAGGCGGAUCGGUCAGUUAGGGGUGAAAUCCCAGAGCUCAACUCUGGAACUGCCUUUAAUACUGCCGCUCUGGAGUCCGGAAGAGGUGAGUGGAAUUCCGAGUGUAGAGGUGAAAUUCGUAGAUAUUCGGAGGAACACCAGUGGCGAAGGCGGCUCACUGGUCCGGUACUGACGCUGAGGUGCGAAAGCGUGGGGAGCAAACAGG